rnacentral:lncRNA from 1 species
GUGAGUGUAUCUGUGCAUGUGUGCGAGCAUGUGCGUGUGUGUGCACGUGUGCAUGUGUGGAGUCUAUGAAUGUGUGUGUGUGAGCAUGUGUACACACGUGUGAAUGGAUGCAUAUGGGCAUACGUGAAUGUGGACUGUAUGGAUGUGUGGCAUGCGGGUGUGGGCGUGUGUGUGUGACGGUGUGGACUGUACAGAUAUGUGACGGUGUGGACUGUAUAGAUGUGUGUGUGUGUGUGACGGUGUAGACCAUAUAGAUGUGUGUGUGCAUGUGAUGGUGUGGACUGUAGAGAUGUGUGUGUGUAUGAUGGUGUGGACUAUAUGGAUGUGUGACGGUGUGGACUGUAUAGAUGUGUGUGUAUGACAGUGUGGACUGUAUAGAUGUGAGACGGUGUGGACUGUAUAGAUGUGUGUGUGUAUGACGGUGUGGACUGUAUGGAUGUGUGACGGUGUGGACUGUAUAGAUGUGUGUGUGACGGUGUGGACUGUAUGGAUGUGUG